rnacentral:rRNA from 1 species
UACGGAGGGAGCUAGCGUUGUUCGGAAUUACUGGGCGUAAAGCGCGCGUAGGCGGCUUUGUAAGUCAGAGGUGAAAUCCCGGAGCUCAACUCCGGAACUGCCUUUGAGACUGCAUCGCUUGAAUCCGGGAGAGGUGAGUGGAAUUCCGAGUGUAGAGGUGAAAUUCGUAGAUAUUCGGAAGAACACCAGUGGCGAAGGCGGCUCACUGGACCGGUAUUGACGCUGAUGUGCGAAAAGCGUGGGGAGCAAACAGG